GUGUGUGUGUGCGCGUGAGCCAGGGGUGUCCGUGUGUGUGUGUGUGUGUGUGAGGCGUCAGCCACCCUCUCCUCCCUACACGUUGAUCUUAUUCGAUCGGCCGGGCCCCGCCGGGCCGAGGUGAGAAGAAAGCACCGCGAAGCCCUCGGGCGCUGUGCGGCUGGGCCGGGGGGGAUGAGUCGAUCAGAUAGGCGAGGCCACGGCCGCUGAGCGCCCUGCGAUUCUGACCCGC